rnacentral:rRNA from 1 species
UACAGAGGGCUCAAGCGUUGUUCGGAUUCACUGGGCGUAAAGGGUGCGUAGGUGGCCAGGUAAGUUUGAUGUGAAAGCUCGGAGCUUAACUCCGAAAUGGCAUUGAAUACUAUCUGGCUUGAGGGUCGGAGGGGAGACUGGAAUUCUCGGUGUAGCAGUGAAAUGCGUAGAUAUCGAGAGGAACACCAGUGGCGAAGGCGAGUCUCUGGACGACACCUGACACUGAGGCACGAAAGCUAGGGGAGCAAACAGG